AGGAUGAACGCUGGCGGCGUGCCUAAUACAUGCAAGUCGAACGAGAACCAGAUUUCGGUCUGGGGAGAGUGGCGGACGGGUGAGUAACACGUAGACGACCUGCCCCGAAGAGGGGGAUAACGGGAGGAAACUCUCGCUAAAACCCCAUAAGCCACGGAGCUUAGAAAUCUGUGGGAAAAACUCCGGUGCUUCGGGAGGGUCUGCGGCCCAUCAGGUAGUUGGCGGGUAACGGCCCACCAAGCCAAUGACGGGUAGGGGGCCUGAGAGGGUGUCCCCGACAACGGGGCACUGAGAGACGGGCCCGACUCCUACGGGAGGCAGCAGUAAGGGAUAUUGCACAAUGG
rnacentral:rRNA from 1 species